rnacentral:rRNA from 1 species
AGUUUGAUCCUGGCUCAGAUUGAACGCUGGCGGCAUGCCUUACACAUGCAAGUCGAACGGCAGCACGGACUUCGGUCUGGUGGCGAGUGGCGAACGGGUGAGUAAUGCAUCGGAACGUACCCGGUAGUGGGGGAUAACUACCCGAAAGGGUGGCUAAUACCGCAUAUACUGUGCGCAGGAAAGCAGGGGACCUUCGGGCCUUGUGCUACCGGAGCGGCCGAUGUCAGAUUAGGUAGUUGGUGGGGUAACGGCCUACCAAGCCUGCGAUCUGUAGCGGGUCUGAGAGGAUGAUCCGCCACACUGGGACUGAGACACGGCCCAGACUCCUACGGGAGGCAGCAGUGGGGAAUUUUGGACAAUGGGCGCAAGCCUGAUCCAGCCAUGCCGCGUGAGUGAAGAAGGCCUUCGGGUUGUAAAGCUCUUUCGGACGGAAAGAAAUCGCGCAGGCUAAUACCCUGCGCGGAUGACGGUACCGUCAUAAGAAGCACCGGCUAACUACGUGCCAGCAGCCGCGGUAAUACGUAGGGUGCGAGCGUUAAUCGGAAUUACUGGGCGUAAAGCGUGCGCAGGCGGUUGAUUAAGACAGGCGUGAAAUCCCCGGGCUUAACCUGGGAACUGCGCUUGUGACUGGUCAGCUAGAGUACGGCAGAGGGGGGUGGAAUUCCACGUGUAGCAGUGAAAUGCGUAGAGAUGUGGAGGAACACCGAUGGCGAAAGCAGCCCCCUGGGCCGAUACUGACGCUCAUGCACGAAAGCGUGGGUAGCAACAGGAUUAGAUACCCUGGUAGUCCACGCCCUAAACGAUGUCAACUA